rnacentral:rRNA from 1 species
CCUACGGUGGGCAGCAGUGAGGAAUAUUGGUCAAUGGCCGGAAGGCUGAACCAGCCAAGCCGCGUGAGGGACGAAGGUGCAGAGAAUUGUAAACUUCUUUUGUCAGGGGACAAAAUCAGGCACGAGAGCCCGAACGAGGGUACUUGAAGAAAAAGCAUCGGCUAACUCCGUGCCAGCAGCCGCGGUAAUACGGAGGAUGCGAGCGUUAUCCGGAUUUACUGGGCGUAAAGUGCUCGUAGGCGGUAUGUCAAGUCAAGGGUGAAAUCCCCGCGCUCAACGUGGGAACGGCCUUUGAAACUGGCAAACUGGAGUGUGUGAGAGGAUAGUGGAAUGCCAGGUGUAGGAGUGAAAUCCGUAGAUAUCGGGAGGAACAUCAGUGGCGAAGGCGACUUGCUGGCACAUAACUGACGCUGAGGAACGAAAGCGUGGGUAGCGAACAGGAUUAGAUACCCGAGUAGUC